AAGUCGUAACAAGGUUUCCGUAGGUGAACCUGCGGAAGGAUCAUUAACACGUAUCCAACGUUAAACCCCCCCGUGAAUAUUAAUCGUGCUCUUGCAUCCUCCCAAUCAGCAAUCUCUGGUAAAUCACGUCGAACGGUUUGAUUCAGAGACCUCUGCGUUGUGGAUGACUGCUGACGCUAAAGGUGCAAUCGAGCGCUAGGAUCAGUGGUUUGGUUUCCCCUCAAACCACUUCAAUGACAGCGUCAUUGAAGUGUGAUGGGGAGGUCGCUUAACGCACGUUGUAGGCUCACACGAGCCGGCGUCCAAAUCACCGGGCAGGCCCUUCUGUCGUGGUUGGGCGUAAAAAUGAACAACUGUUAACAAUGGAUAUCUUGGUUCUC
rnacentral:misc_RNA from 1 species